rnacentral:rRNA from 1 species
UACAGAGGUCUCAAGCGUUGUUCGGAUUCAUUGGGCGUAAAGGGUGCGUAGGCGGCGCGGUAAGUCGGGUGUGAAAUCUUGGAGCUUAACUCCGAAACUGCAUUCGAUACUGCCGUGCUUGAGGACUGGAGAGGAGACUGGAAUUUACGGUGUAGCGGUGAAAUGCGUAGAUAUCGAGAGGAACACCAGUGGCGAAGGCGAGUCUCUGGACAUUUCCUGACGCUGAGGCACGAAAGCCAGGGGAGCAAACGGG